GGGCUCGCUUCGGCAGCAUAUAUAUUAAAAUUGAAAUGAAACAGCAAAGAUGAACACGGCCCCUGUACAAGAUAACAUACAAAUUGGUGAAGUGUUCCAUAUUAGG
ensembl:snRNA U6 U6 spliceosomal RNA